AAAUACUUUAUUGUUUUAAUUUUUUUAGAAAUCAGCCUUUGUGUGACAUUUCAAACAUUUACAAACCUUUGAGAUAUUCUUUCAAAAAACAGUGUUAACAUCUCAGCCACUUUUGAUUAAAAUUUUACACACAAAGAAACAUAAUAGGAAUUGAAAAUUAUAAAUGCUAAAAGAAAAAUUCCAACAUGUUGUUGUUACUUUACACAUUUAUUCAACACAUAUAAAACCAAAGAGGAAACAUUUUCUUUCUUUCAUAAAAACAGAGUUUUCACUGGUUAAAACUGAAUUAAAAUCAUUUAUGUAUAAGGAGAACAAAUCUAAAUUACUUCCACUUUGAAAAAACACAAAACCAGCUUAUUCAUUUCUAUCCAUUCAAGUCAUAGACCCUGUUAUUUUGACAAUGUUCCACUAUUUAGUCUACAAGACAGAAGAGACAUCUCCUUAAAAUAAGAAGACUGAACAAUGCAAAAAGUACAUAGUGUUUAACAUAAGGCACAUUUCCAAAAGAAAAAUACUACAUAAGCUGUAAUAAAAUUACAUUUGUUUUGGGUAAAGCAACAAGGCUUACAGUGUAAGAACAUUAAGUAGUUGUAGGUAACCUCAUGUAAUUCUAUACUACUGCAAUUAGUAGCCUCCUCAAGAAUUAAGAGCAAUUUUUACAACACAACAGUUUGUCUUCUUGGAAGUGACACUAAUUAACAGCAGUGGAGGGAAAAUCACUGGUUGCUUCAAGCUCUCAAAAAAUGAAUCAGUUAUUGCACAGUAAAUACCUCAUAGAGGUCAGUGUUGUAAGAAGCUAGUUUGAAGUAAUAUGUUAUUUAUAAGUUGGUUAUGUCUAGAAAUCUUCAAGUUUUAUAAUUAAUUCUACGUAGGGAAUCAAUUGGAAAAAUAUUGACAUAUGAAUAAAUAUUAGGCAUUUCAAAUCGCUACAAUUUUGGUAGUUGAGAAAAGAAAUAGCAAAGUGCCUAAGUUUCUACAUGUUUUUAACAGACAGCUGCAGAAGGGUCACACACUGUACACUGUAUAUAGCAGCCCAAUUCUGCCAAAAGCAGCUUGUGAAGAAGAUAAGCCCACCGUGUACAUCACCAAUAACUCCAAAGUUAACCAACUAGCACGGUCCUGGCCAAUCUGAAAAAGGAGAAAAGCCACCAUUAAACCACCUUUAAAU
rnacentral:lncRNA from 1 species